rnacentral:lncRNA from 1 species
GCAGUUGUCACUGAUCUUGGCACCACCUAUUCCUCUGUAGGUGUCUUCCAGCACAGGACAGUAGAGAUCAUCACCACUCGGCAAGAAAACCAAGCUAUGUUGCUUUUAGCUGACACAGAAAGAUUGAUUAGUGAGUUUUGAAAAAGAUGGAGAAAAUUCUGGAAACCUACUUUAUGACCCCUGACCUACACGAUCCUCAUACUACCAGUUACUUUAAUGGUUGCCAGCUUCAGGCCAUCAAAGUUGGUGGAACCAUUACUGAUCUCAUUGUGUUCUGAAUUGUCAGCAAGCCAAAUGCCGCUGGUCUCAGCUUAGACGAGAACGUUAAUGCCAAAUUUAAUGAUCUGAUCUUUUACCUGGGUGGCAUUUUUUAUCUGUCCAUCCUCAGUAUUCAAGAUGGAAUUACUGAAGUCAAGUCUGCAACUGAGGAUACCCACCUGAGUGAAGAGUACCUUGACAACUAAGUGGUCAGCUGUUUCAUGGCUGAGAUCAACUGCAGUUAUAGAAAGGACACCCGUUGAGAACAAGCAGGCUGCCCAAGCCCCUUCUGCCUCUACUGAAUGUGCUCUUCAUUCUGGUAUCGAGGCCAAUUUGAGAUUGAGUCCCUCCAUGAAGGGGUUCACAUCUAUACCUCUGUGCACAUGAGCAGCUGGAAGAAUCAAAAGCCACCCCAGUCCCUGGCACCCUACACCUGUGGAGAAAGCCAUAAGCAAUGUCACCCAGACAUAUCACCAGUCCUUCACGGGUGGCUCUAUUUAUAUCCCCAAGAUUUAAAAUCUCUUAUAG